ACUGGGGUAUGGAAAAAAAUAACUCCUGCAGCUAGUUCAGUGUCUGCCCAAAUGGCAGCCCAGUUUUGUGCUUAAAACCGGGGCCCUGUUGGGGUAGGCACCACAGGGAAUCUACUGGUUUGUGAGUUGUGAAGACCAUGGGACAAGCGUAGUAUCUGUGCCGGAGUUCCUUAGGCUCAGACUGUCAUGGCUUCCCUUGGGUAGCGAAGAAAACUCCCAACCCCUUGUGCUUCCUGGCUAAGGCGACGCCCCACCCUGCUUUGGCUUGCCCUCUGUCUGCUGCACCUACUGUACAACCAGUCCCAAUGAGAUGAACCAGCUAACCAUAAUAUCAGGGAACAUAAAACAUCUGGCCAGAUAUUUGCAUUGAGUUGGGGUCAGCAGUGUCAUCUGAAUAAUGAAGUUAUGACCAAUUUUCAUAUGAUGAUAGCGUGACUCAAAAUAAGACCAACAAAGGAGUAAGAUACACCUGAGAAAUGUUUAAAGCAGCCCAUAUUCCUGAGACCAUCAUCAUACUCCUGUAACCACUUCUGACUCUACCUAUUCUUCUUUUGAACUUGUUGGGUCUUUUAGGAGCACCAGUCAUCAAGUUAUAGCAAAAUACAAAGUAUAAGACUCUGGGAUGCAAAGUUGAAUAACAAUUGUGCACAUCUAAUGGAAGCUCAGCACAUGUUAUAAUAGAUCUACUCUUGAAUUGAUUGCUGCUUGUCACAGAAAUAGCACAAGGACUUGAUUCACCUUAAGAUAAAUAUGAAAUGAGACUACAUUGUAGACUCUGUAAAAUUUCCCAGGGUCAGUAUUGCAACAGGUGGUUGAUGAAUAACAGUGAAACUAAGGCCGGUUGUGACAUUGAACAUCGAAAUUGAGAGACUUCUGACCUAGUCACAUGUCCCGCUAAGCAACACAGUUUUCCUAAUCUGAGAGUGAACACUCACACAAUUUAUGACCUGGAGAAGCAGCCUCCAAUGGACCUUCUGUCUAGGAAGUCAAAUCUUGAAGAAAAAAAAAAGAAGAAAUAAAAAAUUGAGUUAAGUACAUUUAUUUUCUUUUUGAAAUUUACCAAUAACAUAAAUCAAAUUUCUACUCAGAGUAAAAGUAAGUAGGAGGACAAAUGGGGCUGAGAGCGUUAUGCCAGUAGAUAACUCUCCAAAUAGAAGAGAACAUUGUAAGUCGGGAGUAAAGAGUUUGGUAGUUUUUGUUUGUUUACUUGUUUGCUUGCUUUUGUUUCAAACUGAAACAGUAUAAAGAGAAGGACAUUUAUUUUGAUGUAAGAAAAAUAUGGAUUCAGGUCUUGGCUCAACAGUUUUUUACUCAAUAUUUUAUAUUGGUAUUCCCUAAUAAAUAUUUUAAAAUUGA